rnacentral:sRNA from 1 species
UCCCAGGGUGGCGCCCCAGCGAGCAAGC